UGAGGCUGGGACGGCCCCGAUGAGGCUGGGACGGCCCCGGUGAUGUUGAGACAGCCCCGGUGAGGCUGAAUCGGCCUAGGUGAGGUCUAGACGGCACCGGUGAGGUCGAGAUGGCCCUGGUGAGGCUGAAUCGGCCCCUGUGAGGCUGAAACAGCCCCGGUGAGGCUGAAUCGGCCUAGGUGAGGUCUAGACGGCACCGGUGAGGUCGAGAUGGCCCUGGUGAGGCUGAAUCGGCCCCUGUGAGGCUGAAACAGCCCCGGUGAGGCUGAAUCGGCCCUGGCGAGGUUGAGACGGCCCAGGUGAGGUUGAGACUGCCUCGGUGAGCUUGCAACAGCCCCAGUGAGGUUGAGGCAGCCCCUGUGAAGCUGAGGUGGCCCCUGUGAGGCUGAGA